GACGAACGCUGGCGGCGUGCUUAACACAUGCAAGUCGAGCGGUAAGGCCCUUUCGGGGGUACACGAGCGGCGAACGGGUGAGUAACACGUGGGUGACCUGCCCUUAGCUCUGGGAUAAGCCUGGGAAACUGGGUCUAAUACCGGAUAUGACUCCAUGACGCAUGUUGUGGGGUGGAAAGCCUUGUGCGGCUAGGGAUGGGCCCGCGGCCUAUCAGCUUGUUGGUGGGGUGAUGGCCUACCAAGGCGACGACGGGUAGCCGGCCUGAGAGGGCGACCGGCCACACUGGGACUGAGACACGGCCCACGACUCCUACGGGAGGCAGCAGUGGGGAAUCUUGCGCAAUGGGCGAAAGCCUGACGCAGCGACGCCGCGUGGGGAUGACGGCCU
rnacentral:rRNA from 1 species